GGUCCUUCCCACCCCGAGAUGCACUCAUGUAUGUCCGUCCCAACACACACACACGCACGCACACACACGCACACACACACACACAGGUGAGUGUGGGGUCCUUCCCACCCCGAGAUGCACUCAUGUAUGCCCGUCCCAACACACACACACGCGCGCACACAUACAUGCACACUUCCCCACCCCCCCUCAGAUGCACAGGCAGGUCAGGGCUGCUCUCACCAACCCGAGAAGGAGCCAGUUCAGCCCCUGGCAGCCAUCACUCACUACCCACAUCUUCGGCUUAUGUGUUGCCGUCCCCGGGCUUCUGCUUGGCAUGCACAGUCUCUUAGGCAGUGCUAAUGCUUCGGGCCUUGAAGCCUUCCUUAGCUUUCCUGGAGUGAGCAGGGCAGAGGCACGGAAGGAGAAGCUAGGGGUGUGCGGGCCGGGGACCCUGACAGGGCUAAGCCGAGGCACUCAGCAGACUGCUCGAUGCAAUUGACGGGAGCAGACAGUUUAUCAGGCCCUCCGUCGCUCAUGCUGCUACGUGGAGAUGAGUCAGGUGCGGCCUCUGGGUCCAAGUCUGGGGAGGGAGGGCGGCCCUGCAGGACAUAAGCCAACACGUGGCAUCACAGAGAUUAGCACAGGCACAGGUCAGAGUGUCACAGCAAUCAGCUCACUCAGGGAUCUUCAAGGGAAAUAUCACCCCCGGUUAGGGAGGCCCGGAGGCGGAGCUCGUCAGAGGGCAGGGGGGGAGGCACCAGGUGCGGUGAGGGGUCAGCCUGGGCCAAGGCCAGGUGUGAAAAUGGGUGACAUUCUGAUGAUGGGGUUACUCCUGCUGCCACAACAAAUACCACAGGCUGGGCCUUAAACAACAGCCGGCAGUCCAAGGUCAAGGUGUCAGCAGGGUGGGUUUCCGCGAGGCCUCUCUCCGUGGCUGGUUAUGGCCGCCUCCCCCCUGUGUCUUCACAGGCCUUCCUCUGUGUAAGUCUGUGCCCAGUCUCCAACCUCCUCUUCUUUAUAAAGAUGCUGGUCAUGUUGGAUGAGGGCCCACCCAUGUGACCUCAUGUUAACGUACUUACCUCUUGAAGACCCUACUCCAGAUAUAGUCACAGUCUGAUGUAUUGGGAAACUCCCGUCUGGACGGACCUGAUUGGAUAAGACCUCACUAAGCAUGCACCUCUCGGCCGCCUGCAGGAAAAGGAGCCCUUUCUGCCGCUCGUGUGUCCUUGAUCGUUACGUAAAUGGAAUCAUGCAACAAGCGUUCCGUGGUGUCUGGCGUCUUAAGCCUGAGGUCCUCCCUGCGGGUUCUGCAGGAAGGCGGGAAGCCCUCCCCCUUCCGAGAGAGGCUCUUCCACACGUGCCCUGAGCUUGCUUCUCCCCAACACAGUCCUCGGCCCGUCAAGGUGCCCGUCCUUGAGUCGGGGUGGGCUGGUGACUGCUUUGACGACGACAGGGCAGCUGAGGAGUGACGCUGUGGGGCGUCCCAGGCUGAGAUACGAAAGGUGGGGCAGCUUCGGCCCUGUUUGCUGGGACACUCGUGCUUGGAGCCCUGGGCACAAAGCGAGAGGUCUCACCCGCCCGAGGCUGCCGUGUUGUGAUGUGAGGAAGCCACGCUGCGUGGGGAGGCCACACGAGGGGCUCCCUCCUUGGUCUGACUCUGAGCCUUCGCAGCCCCGGCGCCCGGCAUGUGUAUGAACCGGCCCCAGGAGACCCCAGCGCCCCACCUCCCCCGCUGGUAGGUCAUCCUGGCCUGCAGGUCUUCCCAGGUGGGGCCCCCGGCAUCAUGGAACGGGGAUAAGUCAUCCCUGGUCAUCCCUUUACCAAGUACCUGCUCCACACAAUGCAGACAUGAGAAAAUGGCUGUUUUAAGUUGCUGAGUUUGGGGUAAUUUGUCAGCCCUGUAAUCACUGGUACACAGGGUGCAAGGGGCUGGACUCAGGAGGGCCAAGGUUAGCCUUCUCACUGGAGGAGACGUGGCGAGAACAUCUGCUUUUGGGGGCCCACUGGCUGCUUCACAGCCCUGCCUACACCUCACCCUCUGCUUUUUGUUUCUCACCAGCUCUUUUUGGUUUUAGGCCAGUAGUUAAUUAAUUCUCUGCCUCCCCCCUGCAAAAGCAA